ACCCGCUGAAUUUAAGCAUAUCAAUAAGCGGAGGAAAAGAAACCAACAGGGAUUGCCUUAGUAACGGCGAGUGAAGCGGCAAAAGCUCAAAUUUGAAAUCUGGCACCUUCGGUGUCCGAGUUGUAAUUUGAAGAAGGUAACUUUGGAGUUGGCUCUUGUCUAUGUUCCUUGGAACAGGACGUCACAGAGGGUGAGAAUCCCGUGCGAUGAGAUGCCCAAUUCUAUGUAAAGUGCUUUCGAAGAGUCGAGUUGUUUGGGAAUGCAGCUCUAAGUGGGUGGUAAAUUCCAUCUAAAGCUAAAUAUUGGCGAGAGACCGAUAGCGAACAAGUACAGUGAUGGAAAGAUGAGAAGAACUUUGAAAAGAGAGUGAAAAAGUACGUGAAAUUGUUGAAAGGGAAGGGCUUGAGAUCAGACUUGGUAUUUUGCGAUCCUUUCCUUCUUGGUUGGGUUCCUCGCAGCUUACUGGGCCAGCAUCGGUUUGGAUGGUAGGAUAAUGACUAAGGAAUGUGGCUCUACUUCGGUGGAGUGUUAUAGCCUUGGUUGAUACUGCCUGUCUAGACCGAGGACUGCGUCUUUUGACUAGGAUGUUGGCAUAAUGAUCUUAAGCCACCCGUCUUGAAACAGGACCAAGGAG
rnacentral:rRNA from 1 species